rnacentral:tRNA from 1 species
AUUUAAUAUAGUUUAAAUAAAAUUUUAAAUUGCAAUUUUAAAGAUUAAAAAUAAUUUUUAUAUUAAAUU